rnacentral:rRNA from 1 species
AGCGAACGCUGGCGGUAGGCCUAACACAUGCAAGUCGAACGGCAGCACAGUAAUAGCUUGCUCUUACGGGUGGCGAGUGGCGGACGGGUGAGGAAUACAUCGGAAUCUACUUUUUCGUGGGGGCUAACGUAGGGAAACUUACGCUAAUACCGCAUACGACCUACGGGUGAAAGCAGGGGAUCUUCGGACCUUGCGCGAUUGAAUGAGCCGAUGUCGGAUUAGCUAGUUGGCGGGGUAAAGGCCCACCAAGGCGACGAUCCGUAGCUGGUCUGAGAGGAUGAUCAGCGACACUGGAACUGAGACACGGUCCAGAGUCCGACGGGAGGCAGCAGUGGGGAAUAUUGGACAAUGGGCGCAAGCCUGAUCCAGCCAUACCGCGUGGGUGAAGAAGGCCUUCGGGUUGUAAAGCCGUUUUGUUGGGAAAGAAAAGCAGCAGGUUAAUACCCCGCUGUUCUGACGGUACCCAAAGAAUAAGCACCGGCUAACUUCGUG